CAGAGGCUAUGUUAUAAAGACAUGAAAGUGUCUGCCCUCUCUGUCUAUCUCGUUCUGGAGGAAGCUAACUUCUGGGUGAGGGGCAUAUUCCAGCAUCCCGCAGAUGGCAUGAGACACUGAGUCUUCUGCCAACUGUCAGCACCAAUCUGCCAUGCCAUAACUGAGUCCGAUCCUGCAGCGGCUCCACUGGCUCACAACCUGCCUGGAGCCUCCCCAGAGACCCCAAGAUCACCAUAAACGUGUCUUGCUAAAUUGCUGUGUUGCUUUGGCUGGGUGUGAACUUGUGAUCCUCCUGCUUCAGCCUCCUAGAGUGCUGGGAUUACCACCACGCCAGGGUCAAUUUUCUUUGACCCUGUGAUGGAGAGGUGCUGGCUGCUACUCAGAGCUUGUCUGGGUUCCCCAGGAAAGACGUCUCUGUUUACGCUGUCAUCUGUGGAGCAACCCCAGUUCUGGACCCACAGCUGCCGAGACUGGCAGAGACGUUGGACCCUUUGUCUGGGAGAGCCACGGGAAGGACCCUUUGACACGUGGCCGAAGCAGCAGGGCUCCUAGCUUGGCACCAUGAGGAGAAACCAGGGUGUUUUAACCGCUUCCAUGGAUCCUGACGCUUCCACCUCACUGCUGUGAAAGAAUGGUGUCAUUGCCCAGCUUAAUUGUCACAGAGUGAGUGUAACUGAAAGGGACACAGAGCAGAAGAAGGGACUUUAAAAAAAUUUCUCAAAUCAAAGUCCUAAGAGGAAAGGGUGGGAGAGGCAUACUGGAAAUUUUUUUCACAAUGACUUUAUUGAGGUAUAAUGCAUGUACAAUAAACUUCAUAUUUAAAAUGUACAAUUUGGUCAGCUUUGACGUAUGUGCACACAUCAUCAUGCUAGGAAGAUAGUGA